UACGAAGGGUGCAAACGUUGCUCGGAAUUAUUGGGCGUAAAGCGCACGUAGGCGGCUUAGCAAGUUGGAUGUGAAAUCCCUCGGCUUAACCAAGGAAGUGCAUCCAAAACUGCUGAGCUUGAGUAUUUAAGAGGAUCGCGGAAUUCCCGGUGUAGAGGUGAAAUUCGUAGAUAUCGGGAGGAACACCAGUGGCGAAGGCGGCGAUCUGGGAAGAUACUGACGCUGAGGUGCGAAAGCGUGGGGAGCAAACAGG
rnacentral:rRNA from 1 species